GGCUCAGGAUGAACGCUAGCUACAGGCUUAACACAUGCAAGUCGAGGGGAAACGACAUCGAAAGCUUGCUUUUGAUGGGCGUCGACCGGCGCACGGGUGAGUAACGCGUAUCCAACCUGCCCACCACUUGGGGAUAACCUUGCGAAAGUAAGACUAAUACCCAAUGAUAUCCCACGGACGGCAUCUGAUGUGGAACAAAGAUUCAUCGCUAUGGGAUGGGGAUGCGUCUGAUUAGCUUGUUGGCGGGGUAACGGCCCACCAAGGCAACGAUCAGUAGGGGUUCUGAGAGGAAGGUCCCCCACAUUGGAACUGAGACACGGUCCAAACUCCUACGGGAGGCAGCAGUGAGGAAUAUUGGUCAAUGGGCGAGAGCCUGAACCAGCCAAGUAGCGUGCAGGACGACGGCCCUAUGGGUUGUAAACUGCUUUUAUAAGGGAAUAAAGUGAGUCUCGUGAGACUUUUUGCAUGUACCUUAUGAAUAAGGACCGGCUAAUUCCGUG
rnacentral:rRNA from 1 species